UUUAGGCUUUCUUUAUUGCAAGUUCUGUUUAAUUAAGAUUUUCUUACCCCCUGCUAUGUUAAUAGCUUGCUAGACCCUGCAAGAGCCUCCUGUAUGUGAUUAAAGUUCAAUUUAGAGAUUGAGAUACAAUUAUUUAAGGUAAAUACAUCUGUUUGAAAGUGAAACCAGUUUUUUUUUUCAUGCAGGUUCUGUCAAUCAUAGCCAGGGGAGGUGUGGCUAGGGCUGCAUAAACAGAAACAAAGUGAUUUAACUCCUGAAUGACAGUGAAUUGAGCAGUGAAAUUGCAGAGGA